rnacentral:rRNA from 1 species
UACGGGGGGUGCGAGCGUUGUCCGGAAUUACUGGGCGUAAAGCGCACGUAGGCGGCUUUCUAAGUCGGAGGUGAAAUCCUGGAGCUCAACUCCAGAACUGCCUUCGAUACUGGAGAGCUUGAGUCCGGGAGAGGUGAGUGGAACUGCGAGUGUAGAGGUGAAAUUCGUAGAUAUUCGCAAGAACACCAGUGGCGAAGGCGGCUCACUGGCCCGGUACUGACGCUGAGGUGCGAAAGCGUGGGGAGCAAACAGG